rnacentral:rRNA from 1 species
AUGGGCAGGUUGAAGGUUGGGUAACACUAACUGGAGGACCGAACCGACUAAUGUUGAAAAAUUAGCGGAUGACUUGUGGCUGGGGGUGAAAGGCCAAUCAAACCGGGAGAUAGCUGGUUCUCCCCGAAAGCUAUUUAGGUAGCGCCUCGUGAACUCAUCUCCGGGGGUAGAGCACUGUUUCGGCAAGGGGGUCAUCCCGACUUACCAACCCGAUGCAAACUGCGAAUACCGGAGAAUGUUAUCACGGGAGACACACGGCGGGUGCUAACGUCCGUCGUGAAGAGGGAAACAACCCAGACCGCCAGCUAAGGUCCCAAAGUCAUGGUUAAGUGGGAAACGAUGUGGGAAGGCCCAGACAGCCAGGAUGUUGGCUUAGAAGCAGCCAUCAUUUAAAGAAAGCGUAAUAGCUCACUGGUCGAGUCGGCCUGCGCGGAAGAUGUAACGGGGCUAAACCAUGCACCGAAGCUGCGGCAGCGACGCUUAUGCGUUGUUGGGUAGGGGAGCGUUCUGUAAGCCUGUGAAGGUGUGCUGUGAGGCAUGCUGGAGGUAUCAGAAGUGCGAAUGCUGACAUAAGUAACGAUAAAGCGGGUGAAAAGCCCGCUCGCCGGAAGACCAAGGGUUCCUGUCCAACGUUAAUCGGGGCAGGGUGAGUCGACCCCUAAGGCGAGGCCGAAAGGCGUAGUCGAUGGGAAACAGGUUAAUAUUCCUGUACUUGGUGUUACUGCGAAGGGGGGACGGAGAAGGCUAUGUUGGCCGGGCGACGGUUGUCCCGGUUUAAGCGUGUAGGCUGGUUUUCCAGGCAAAUCCGGAAAAUCAAGGCUGAGGCGUGAUGACGAGGCACUACGGUGCUGAAGCAACAAAUGCCCUGCUUCCAGGAAAAGCCUCUAAGCAUCAGGUAACAUCAAAUCGUACCCCAAACCGACACAGGUGGUCAGGUAGAGAAUACCAAGGCGCUUGAGAGAACUCGGGUGAAGGAACUAGGCAAAAUGGUGCCGUAACUUCGGGAGAAGGCACGCUGAUAUGUAGGUGAAGUCCCUCGCGGAUGGAGCUGAAAUCAGUCGAAGAUACCAGCUGGCUGCAACUGUUUAUUAAAAACACAGCACUGUGCAAACACGAAAGUGGACGUAUACGGUGUGACGCCUGCCCGGUGCCGGAAGGUUAAUUGAUGGGGUCAGCGCAAGCGAAGCUCUUGAUCGAAGCCCCGGUAAACGGCGGCCGUAACUAUAACGGUCCUAAGGUAGCGAAAUUCCUUGUCGGGUAAGUUCCGACCUGCACGAAUGGCGUAAUGAUGGCCAGGCUGUCUCCACCCGAGACUCAGUGAAAUUGAACUCGCUGUGAAGAUGCAGUGUACCCGCGGCAAGACGGAAAGACCCCGUGAACCUUUACUAUAGCUUGACACUGAACAUUGAGCCUUGAUG